CAGCGACGCCGCGUGAGGGAUGACGGCCUUCGGGUUGUAAACCUCUUUCAGUAGGGAAGAAGCGAAAGUGACGGUACCUGCAGAAGAAGCGCCGGCUAACUACGUGCCAGCAGCCGCGGUAAUACGUAGGGCGCAAGCGUUAUCCGGAAUUAUUGGGCGUAAAGAGCUCGUAGGCGGUUUGUCGCGUCUGCCGUGAAAGUCCGGGGCUCAACUCCGGAUCUGCGGUGGGUACGGGCAGACUAGAGUGAUGUAGGGGAGACUGGAAUUCCUGGUGUAGCGGUGAAAUGCGCAGAUAUCAGGAGGAACACCGAUGGCGAAGGCAGGUCUCUGGGCAUUAACUGACGCU
rnacentral:rRNA from 1 species